AAACUCCUACGGGAGGCAGCAGUGGGGAAUCUUGCGCAAUGGGCGGAAGCCUGACGCAGCAACGCCGCGUGGGGGAUGACGGCCUUCGGGUUGUAAACCUCUUUCGACAUCGACGAAGCCUUUUGGGGUGACGGUAGGUGUAGAAGAAGCACCGGCUAACUACGUGCCAGCAGCCGCGGUAAUACGUAGGGUGCGAGCGUUGUCCGGGAUUAUUGGGCGUAAAGGGCUCGUAGGCAGUUCGUCACGUCGGGAGUGAAAACUCGGAGCUGAACUCCGAGCCUGCUUGCGAUACGGGCAGACUAGAGGUAGGCAGGGGAGAGCGGAACUCCUGGUGUAGCGGUGGAAUGCGCAGAUAUCAGGAAGAACACCGGUGGCGAAGGCGGCUCUCUGGGCCUUACCUGACGCUGAGGAGCAAAAGCGUGGGUAGCGAACAGGAUUAGAUACCCUGGUAGUCCACGCCGUAAACGUUGGGCGCUAGGUGUGGGGGACAUUCCACGUCCUCCGUGCCGCAGCUAACGCAUUAAGCGCCCCGCCUGGGGAGUACGGCCGCAAGGCUAAAACUCAAAGGAAUUGACGGGGGCCCGCACAAGCGGCGGAGCAUGCGGAUUAAUUCGAUGCAACGCGAAGAACCUUACCUGGAUUCGACAUAUAGGGAAAUCCUCCAGAGAUGGGGGGUCCGUAAGGGUCCUAUACAGGUGGUGCAUGGCUGUCGUCAGCUCGUGUCGUGAAAUGUUGGGAUAAGUCCCGCAACGAGCGCAAACCCUCGUCCCUAUGUUGCCAGCACGUUAUGGUGGGGGACUCAUAGGAGACUGCCGGGGUCACUCGGAGGAAGGUGGGGAUGACGUCAAGUCAUCAUGCCCCUUAAUGUCCAGGGCUUCAACGGCAUGCUACAAUGGCCGG
rnacentral:rRNA from 1 species